rnacentral:rRNA from 1 species
CCUACGGGAGGCAGCAGUGAGGAAUAUUGGUCAAUGGGCGAGAGCCUGAACCAGCCAAGUCGCGUGAGGGAGUACUGCCCUAUGGGUUGUAAACCUCUUUUGUCGGGGAGCAAAAGCCGGACGUGUCCGGCUGUGAGAGUACCCGAAGAAAAAGCAUCGGCUAACUCCGUGCCAGCAGCCGCGGUAAUACGGAGGAUGCGAGCGUUAUCCGGAUUUAUUGGGUUUAAAGGGUGCGCAGGCGGAUUUUUAAGUCAGCGGUAAAAUCGUGGGGCUCAACCCCAUCCAGCCGUUGAAACUGGGGAUCUAGAGUGUGCGAGAGGUAUGCGGAAUGAGUGGUGUAGCGGUGAAAUGCAUAGAUAUCACGCAGAACCCCGAUUGCGAAGGCAGCAUACCGGUGCACAACUGACGCUCAGGCACGAAAGCGUGGGUAUCGAACAGGAUUAGAUACCCUGGUAGUC